rnacentral:lncRNA from 1 species
UGAGGGUCGUUUCAAAAUGGUUUACAAGGGAUAAUGUCGGGUGUAGGGUAGGCUGAACAAAGAAGAAAAUUGGUUUAAAGUGUGGCGUUGGGAUGGGUAAAUAAUGGUAGGAAGGGAAACUUGAUGAUCGGAGUAAUAAGUGAUAAUGAUAAAAACUCGCAAGACUUUUCACUUUUUUUUCUUUCUUCUUUUUUUUAACUCGAUUUUUUUGUCACUUCUUUUUUUUUCCUUUUUUUUCGAUUUUUUUUGAAUUUUUUUCCGAAUUUCUUCUCUUUUUUUAAAUCCAAUACAAUAGUAAACUAAAUACAAGGAAGAAAAAAAAUUUAAAUUCCAACUCAAAAUUUUUUUUAUUUUUUUUGACUUCUUUUUUACGUUACGAACCUACUCCGAGCUUGAUACGAAUGUCGGCACUCCUCGUUUUAGUAGCUCUGAUACCAAAUGAUGUGAUCCGGCUCGAUGAUGUAGAGUCGAGUCACUUGUUUGCCCGAUCGUCGACGAGAAGAGUCGUUCGUUUGGUGAGAAAAAUGGAUUUUGAUUAACUUUAAGCGGAAGUUGGAAAAAGGGUUCAAAGGAUAGGUGAAGUUUGAUGAUUGAUGUUAGGUUCGGGUUUUACAAGAAAAAUAAAGUUUAUAAUUUUAAAGUUAAAAUGGAGAUGGUAAAGUGAACUCAAGCUGAA